rnacentral:tRNA from 1 species
UGGGGCGUCGUCUAACGGUAGGACACAGGAUUUUGGAUCCUGACGUGGAGGUUCGAGUCCUCCCGCCCCAG